GCAUGACCUCAUUAAGGCCCUAAACUAUUGCUUUAGUCUAUGAGGUUUAUUGUAAUCUUAAACAUAUAUUAAAAUACAGUAUAUAAUGAAAUAAAAUAUCUAAUUUUAUUAAUAAUAAUUAAUAUCAAAUACAUGAGUUUAGAAGAUAUAAUACAGAAAACAUCCCAUCGCAUCACUGAUGUGAUUGGCUUGUAGGGUAUUAUUCUUCCAGUCUCAUC
rnacentral:lncRNA from 1 species